GGUUUCAAAUUUUGGCACAGUGUUAGCAGUUUUUGAGGGGCGGGAGAAGUCGAUUACAUCGACUCCAGUGCGUAACUGGUACUUAAUUUUUCGACCC